rnacentral:misc_RNA from 1 species
AUGAAGAACGCAGCGAAAUGCGAUAAGUAAUGUGAAUUGCAGAAUUCAGUGAAUCAUCGAAUCUUUGAACGCACAUUGCGCCCGCCAGUAUUCUGGCGGGCAUGCCUGUCUGAGCGUCAUUUCAACCCUCAUGCCCCUAGGGCGUGGUGUUGGGGAUCGGCCAAAGCCCGCGAGGGACGGCCGGCCCCUAAAUCUAGUGGCGGACCCGUCGUGGCCUCCUCUGCGAAGUAGUGAUAUUCCGCAUCGGAGAGCGACGAGCCCCUGCCGUUAAACCCCCAACUUUCCAAGGUUGACCUCAGAUCAGGUAGGAAUACCCGCUGAACUUAAGCAUAUCAAUAGCGGAGGA